ensembl:lncRNA
GGGUGGUAAAAGUGUGCAAAGGUUUGCAGAAGAUAUGUAAAGGUGUGUAGAGGUGUAAAAGGAGUGUAAAGGUAUACAGAAGUUGGAUAAAGGUGUAUAAAACUGUGCGAAAGGGUAAAGGUGUGUAGAAGUGGUUUAGAAGGUGUGUAAAGUUGUGUAGAAGGUGUAUAAAGGUGUGUAGAAGGUGUGUAAAUGUAUGUAGAAGGGGUUUAGAAGGUGUGUAGAAGGGGUUUAGAAAGUGCAUAAAGAUGUGUAGAAGGUGUGUAGAAAAGCGCGUAAAGGUGUGUAGGGUGUGCAAAUGGUGUAUACAUGUAUGUAGAAGGGGUUUAGAAGGUGCAUAAAGGUGCGUGGACGGUGUGUAAAGGUGCGUGGACGGUGUGUGGACGGUGUGUAAAGGUGUGUGGAUGGUGUGUAAAGGUGCGUGGACGGUGUGUGGACGGUGUGUAAAGGUGCGUGGACGGUGUGUAAAGUGUGCAGGUGUGUAAAUGUGUAUAAAGGUGUGUAGAAGGUGUGUACAUGAGAGGAUGUAUGGGUCACGGGUCUCUUGGCUAACAGUGAGACGGUGGUGUAUAAAUAGCAGCAUGGGAGCGAGAGGUGAGCUAACAGCAUUUUGAGUCUGCAGGAAGAAGAGAGUGAUGCAAUUAGAGGAAAUGAUGAGGCAAAAGACGAGAGAAAACGGAAAGAGCAAUGCUGCUACAGCUCCCGAUCAGAUGGGAUGAAGAGGAAUAAAAUACGAGACGGCAGAUCAUUAGCGGAUCAUCAUCCAGCAGUUAAUGACGCAAUCAGGUUUAAUAACAAUCACAUAGCCAAAUAAGGAGGAAGCCUGCCGUGAACAUCUACACAACAGAAGAGUGAACAACACCUACACAACAGGAGAGUGAACAACAUCUACACAACAGAAGAUUGAACAACUACACAACAGGAGAGUGAAUAACAUCUACACAACAGGAGAGUGAACAACAUCUACACAACAGGAGAGUGAACAACAUCUACACAACAGAGAGUGAACAACUACACAACAGAGAAGUGAACAACACCUACACAACUGAACACCAUCUACAGAACAGUGAACAGCUUCUACACAACAGGAGGGUGAACAUCUACACAACAGAAGAAUGAACAACACCUACACAACAGAACAGUGAAAUAUUACUGACCUCACAUAAAAGCAUUAACAUUAUUACGAUGUAUGUUAUAGAGAAAUAACCCAGAAUGAGAUGUUUUAUACGGUGCAUUAUAUAGGUACCCCUUAUAUAGGGUUACAAACUAUACCUGAAAUAGACCUAAUUAUGUGUGUGUGUGUGUGUGUGUGUGUGUGUGUGUGUGUGUGUGUGUGUGUGUGUGUCUGUGUGUGUGUG